GGUAGUAUAGUUCUGCAAGAUUCAGAUUACAUCCUACAGAUAACAGCUGAUGCACAUUGGUAACCUGUGUGAAUUACCUAAGGAAACCAUGACAUUUAAAGGACUGCUCUGAAUUGAGUGCAGAUCAACAGGCAAAUACUAAUUGAGUGGAAGAUUGUGUUUUCAACAUGAUUACUGGAAGCUUCCUCUAGGACUACUUAACACAGGAAACUUGUGCCUCUUACCCCAUCAGCAGAUCUAAAUACCGCCCCACCCACGUCUACUACAAGGGACGUCAGUCAGGAAUGUCAGAGUUUCCUGUCAAGAAAAGGACAAGACAUCUUCAACUGAUAAGAAAUGCAGGGGUUGAGAAGGGAAUGAUGGAACAGCUGUUGCAGAUGACAGAUGCAUCUUACAAGUUAGAUCAGGAAGAUUUUGUGCACAUUUUACAUCACUUGAAGGCUAUUUUUAUAUAUUCUCAUAAGUGUAUUGCUCCCAAUAUUUCAAGGAAUUAAACUGCAUUCUGAGUGGGAGAGAAGGGAAAUAACUGAAAAAUGGAAAGGAUGGGAAAGGAUGGCUAGAGGAGCUGCGGGGGGAGACACAUUGUACUUGGAUGUCCAGCUCAUUGACUUCAGAAAGGGAAUAUUACCCUAAUAUUUUAAAUUUGUUCUAGGAAAUUCACUGCUCAUGUUUAAAUUUUUUCCAACUGAGCCUUCCUCCCCCCCCCCCCCUUCCUUUGCUGCCAGGAAGGUAUUUCCUUGGAAACCAUCAAACCAAAGGAAUUUUUUAAUUUGUAAAUGCUUCUCCCUGGUUCCCACUUUUCCAGCUCCAGAAACAUUUUAGGUUUUUCUCUGACUUACCUGCUUCUCAAUUCCUUUAUUUUUAAAUUUAUUUUAUGAAUAAUUUAAUUCCUUUGAUUUUUUUUUUCCACACCAGUCUCCAUAGAAAAAGAAUGCAUGAAACAUGCAAUCAAAAAUUGCAGCCAGGCAGACAGAAAAGCAAGUCAGAGCAGAAGCUGUAGUAUAGCAAAACAAGCAUGAAUUGGACAAACAUCCAAGUAGGUUUUUAAAAUAUGUUAGUGGCAAAAAUACUCCAAAUAAACAAUCAGUUUUUGGUUCUAAACCGUACUGCAAACUCUGAGAUAACCCACAAUAUAGUUUACGCAUUAGGAAGAAAAGAUCUUUUCCUAAGAGAAGGUUUUAUUGUUUUGGUUUUUAAGAAAACUUUUAGUAUAUUAUGUGGCAAAAAUAUCAUUAGCAUCUGGGGAAUCUUCCAUGUGUUGUGACCAGAGAAGCUGAAAAUUGCCCUACCAGAACAGACCAAUGAUCCUUCUCUCUCUCUCUCUGUGUGGUUAUUGCCACAUUUUCUUGAGGCAAUCUCAAGAAACCCCAUAAUGGAAAAUUAUGGAAUACUUUAUCCAUAAAUAUCUAUUCCAUUUGUUUAUAAUGUACAAAUUUAACUCUGUUUUCUAAAGCUGAAAUAAUCGGCGAAAUCAGAGGGUUCAAUGCUAGAGUAGAAUCUUGAACUCUGUCCCCGUGUUUAUUCAUGUAGCUCCACUCCCUAUGUCCAAGAAUCUGCUUUUGACAUGCAAGGCAUGUGACAAUCUUCCCCACCCUUUGAAAUGAGGAUACGCAUGUACAACCACAAGUUGCAAUUCUAGUUACUUCCAAGACAACUUAAAACUGAAGGCUAAUACACAAUCCUUAAACUUGUUUUAACACACAGUUGUACAAUACCUAUAUCUCUGUACAACAAGAGCUAUUAAUUUCACAAAGCUUGUUUGCUCUUUAUCGGUCCACUGAAUUGCAUUCAUUUUAUGUAUAUAGUGCAAAUACUACAAGAGGUUGAAUGUUUCCAGAACCGCAAGUAACUUCUACUCUUUGGCUCUUAUUGUAAUAUAAAGGAACCUUGCCCAUGCCUGUCUGAACAAUAAACCAUGAAUUGUACCUUGUGAAUUUAAAACCAUUAUUUAUUACUUUUAUUAAAUGGUCUUACAGCCUGCGAAAAGGUAAGUUUACCUGACCUCUAAUACUUCUGCAAGAAACAGCAAAAAAAUUACUCAAAUUUUAGUAGCCUUUUUCACCAUUUCCCCACAGGCCUUCCAGUUAAACCCCUCACUGGCUUUUACUGUUUAUCACAUCACAUAAGGGCACUUCUCCUUCCUUAAAAAAAAUGAAUAAAAAAAUCCCAUGUUCAAGAUACUUCAGUAAUGAGCAUAGUAUAAAUGGGAAGAUGAAAAGAGAUACCAACAUCAGACAAACUGAAAAUAUUUUAAAAAAUAAAACUAUAAUCAUAGUUUGAUC